AUUGCGGAGAUACACGCCGUUGAUGCAAGAAGGGAUAGUGCCGGUGACAGGAAGGGCCUGCUUGACGGGCUGUUCAGGGACGGGAGCGAAGUUUCCGGAGAUUUGCACAUGUGGGUCUGCGGUUUUAGGAAGUGGGUGUUGAAUGUGGGUCUGCGGUUUUAGGAAGUGGGUGUUGAAGCUCAAGUGAGACCAAGGCGCUUUCAGCCAUGUCAAGUGCCAUGGCUGCAGCUCUUUGGAGGAGGUUCCACUGUGGGUGGCGGUGGGUUUUAGGUUGUACUUGUACAUUUACA
rnacentral:lncRNA from 1 species